AAUGCCUAGGAAUCUGCCUGGUAGUGGGGGUUAACGUUCGGAAACGGACGCUAAUACCGCAUACGUCCUACGGGAGAAAGCAGGGGACCUUCGGGCCUUGCGCUAUCAGAUGAGCCUAGGUCGGAUUAGCUAGUUGGUGAGGUAAUGGCUCACCAAGGCGACGAUCCGUAACUGGUCUGAGAGGAUGAUCAGUCACACUGGAACUGAGACACGGUCCAGACUCCUACGGGAGGCAGUAGUGGGGAAUAUUGGACAAUGGGCGAAAGCCUGAUCCAGCCAUGCCGCGUGUGUGAAGAAGGUCUUCGGAUUGUAAAGCACUUUAAGUUGGGAGGAAGGGUUGUAGAUUAAUACUCUGCAAUUUUGACGUUACCGACAGAAUAAGCACCGGCUAACUCUGUGCCAGCAGCCGCGGUAAUACAGAGGGUGCAAGCGUUAAUCGGAAUUACUGGGCGUAAAGCGCGCGUAGGUGGUUUGUUAAGUUGGAUGUGAAAUCCCCGGGCUCAACCUGGGAACUGCAUUCAAAACUGACUGACUAGAGUAUGGUAGAGGGUGGUGGAAUUUCCUGUGUAGCGGUGAAAUGCGUAGAUAUAGGAAGG
rnacentral:rRNA from 1 species